rnacentral:lncRNA from 1 species
AUUUCUGUCCAGAAAAGCUGGAAGAACCCCCACUGCCACCUUCAAACCACCCCCUGCCACCACCUCUUGUCGCUGCAUACCACCGCUAACCACCACCUUCGUGAACUGUAAGUCCCUUCCUCCACCGCCUCUACAUUUUUGCUUUUGGUCUAGACCCAUUUCAUCAAUGAUAGCAAGCACACCGUUCAAAGUAACAUGGGUGUGUGCUCAUGUUGUGAACAAGAGGAAUCAGGAGCUUUCACACCUCCUGAUCGAAUGUAAUUUUCAGUUUGCUUUAAACAACCAAAACGUCGUUCUAUAUGGUUUUAAUCCCAUGCAAAUUAUAAAAUGCUCACAGUAACCGUUAUCUCAUUCUUUUUCUUUCUUCCUUAUAUAUGUGUGUUGUGGGUCGAAUAUUGCCAAGAGAAACAAGGAUUUUGUGGUGUCAUUUUGAUUAUACUUCAAACAAAUAUAUAAAUCAAAUCAAAGUAAGUGUUUUUAAAUCUCAAAUAUUAUUUCAUUUUGGUUUUGUAUUCCCUGUGUGGAUCGAAAAGAAUCCAAUAAACAAAACCAAAUAUUGUUUCGUUUUGUAUUAUAAGCCAUGCACUCAAAAACUUUCACUGUGGGCUUCCAAAAAUACAAAUUUUUUAAUUGACUUGCCUUGUUCCUGUGAGUUUCGAUUUUUACUAAACAGAGAAACCAAAUAUCGUUUCCAUUACCUUGUGUUGUUCAAUGAUGCAACAGAAGAAUUGACUCUACUGUUCAAACAUGCAUUAAUUUUAUUUAAAACAAACCUUUAGGUUGUGAUGAAUUUUCCAUCUAACCCCUCCCAAAGCAUUAUAUUUAUUUAUUUGGUUACGUAAAGAAAGAAGUAUAUAUGUAUAUAUAUUUCUUUUCUUUUUCCUUUUUUCUUUUCCAAACUUUGAUUCUAAAAUAAUUGUUUAAACCCUCAGUUGAAAAUAGUUUACAAAAUUAGUCUUAAUCUCAAAAUUUUAUUUAAAGUAUACACUUCAGCACCCUGCUUCAGAAAUAAACUACGAAAUCAAUCCCCUUGUUGAAUUAAUUUAACAAAUUUGUUCCUAUAAUUAAUUGUUUUAGCAAAACAUACGCUAGUAAUUAAUAUCAAAACUACCAUUGGUUUAUUAGGUAACAAAAAUAGUCCCGGAAGUUUAUUUUAAACGCAAGGAGCGUCAUACUGCGGUUCCUCACGGCACACUUAGUUCUCGAAUUUACGCAUUAAGGUGAGAGUUACGGCCCCUUUUCAAUAUUUUAUUUAUUCUUGGGGGAGAAUACAUGUGCUAAAUAGUAUUUAUUAUGCAAAUACAUAAGUCUUAUAUGAUACGCAUGCUACAAUUUUAAAAGUUAUAAAGACUUCCAUUUCUGAAUAUUAUCAUGCAUAAGGCUUUACACACUGGAUGAAUUUAUUUAUAAAAAUACCUUUUGGCUUUUAAAGACUCAUGACAAGCAUUGCUUCAACCAUUGUUAUACAAGGAAAAUACUUUAUGACAUUUGAAAGUAUUAUUACUACGGCUAGCAGAAAACCUAUGACUAUCACCAACCUUAUGUUGACUUUUAUUAUACAUGUAUUCUCAGGAAAUCAGUGAAAUUUCGGGCACAUUCAGACGAUGGAAAA